CGUGAGUCUGGGUUAGAGACGCGGCGGCGGAUCUGGGUCGCAGCAGUGGCGAGAGAAGAGGGUCUUGAGGGCUCGUGAGGUUGGCCCUGGACGCUAUACAACUGGAACGGCUUGACCUUUCCGAGGGCGCCAAUGGCGGGCAGCGUGGAUGAGGAAGCACUGCACCAACUGUAUCUGUGGGUAGACAACAUCCCUCUGUCCCGGCCCAAGCGAAAUCUGUCCCGGGACUUCAGUGAUGGAGUCCUGGUAGCAGAGGUCAUCAAGUUUUACUUCCCCAAGAUGGUGGAGAUGCACAAUUAUGUCCCUGCCAACUCUCUCCAGCAGAAACUGAGCAACUGGAGUCACCUGAACAGGAAGGUGCUGAACAAACUGAACUUCUCUGUACCAGAAGACGUGAUGCGCAAGAUAGCACAGUGUGCCCCAGGUGUGGUGGAGCUGGUGCUCAUUCCACUGAGGCAGCGCCUGGAGGAGCGUCAGAGACGUAGGAAGCAGGGCAUCGGCUCCUUACAGGAGCUGGCUCCCCAGGAUGGCACUGACUACAUAGAUGUGGGUUUGUCCCAGAAGGCCCGAGGGGAAGGUGUCCCAGACCCCCAGGGCCGGGGGCAACUCAGGGAGGGCCGACUGCCUGUGCCCCGGCCUCCAGGGGACAGCCAGGCGCUGCAGAGCGACCCGAGCUUCGUCCUCCAGAUCGCUGAAAAGGAGCAGGAGCUGUUGGCCUCGCAGGAGACCGUGCAGGUCCUGCAGAUGAAGGUGAGACGCUUGGAGCACUUGCUCCAGCUCAAGAACGUGCGUAUAGAAGACCUCUCCCGGAGGCUCCAGCAGGCAGAGCGUAAGCAGCGGUGAGCCUGAGAGAUGCCCCCUUAUCCGCCAGAGCCCAGAUGUAGCAACUGACGCACCCACCUCGAAG
rnacentral:lncRNA from 1 species